rnacentral:rRNA from 1 species
GACGAACGCUGGCGGCGUGCUUAACACAUGCAAGUCGAACGGAAAGGCCCUGCUUUUGGGGGGUGCUCGAGUGGCGAACGGGAGUAUAACACGUGAGUAACCUGCCCUUGACUUUGGGAUAACUUCAGGACACUGGGGCUAAUACCGGAUAGGAGCCCCUGCUGCAUGGGGGGGGUGGGAAAGUUUCGGCGGUGGGGGAUGGACUCGGGGCUUAUCAGCUUGUUGGUGGGGUAGUGGCUUACCAAGGCUUUGGCGGGUAGCCGGCCUGAGGGGGUGACCGGCCACAUUGGGACUGGGAUACGGCCCAGACUCCUACGGGAGGCAGCGGUGGGGAAUAUUGCACAAUGGUCGGAGGCCGGAUGCGGCAACGCCGCGUGCGGGAUGACGGCCUUCGGGUUGUAACCCGCUUUCGCCUGUGACGAGGCGUGAGUGACGGUAAUGGGUAAAGAAGCACCGGCUAACUACGUG